CCCUUAGACGUUCUGGGCCGCACGCGCGCUACACUGACCAGUGCAACAAGCAUCCGUCCUUGGCCGACAGGCCCGGGCAAUCUUUGAACGCUGGUCGUGAUGGGGAUAGACUUUUGCAAUUUUUGGUCUUCAACGAGGAAUUCCUAGUAAACGCAAGUCAUCAACUUGCAUUGAUUACGUCCCUGCCCUUUGUACACACCGCCCGUCGCACCUACCGAUUGAAUGGUCCGGUGAAGCCUCCGGCUUGGCGCGCACCUCGGUGCCGCCGAGAAGUUGGCUAAACCUUACCAUUUAGAGGAAGGUGAAGUCGUAACA
rnacentral:rRNA from 1 species